UCGCGGCCUUAUUAUUUCUGGCGUCUGGCCAGCCGCCUCUCCCAAGGUGCAGUCUCUGCAUUAACUGUAAGAAUCUGGCUUCGCCCGUGGCUAUGUCAGAGAAAAGUCCGGCUAAAGCCACUCCAAUCAUCUCCUCCAUCUCGGGUGCUCUAUCUGCUGGCAUUCUUUCACUUACUCAAACCUUCUUCAUCUUUCCCAUCCUCCAUCCCUUCUCAAUUUCCAGCUGAGGAGGAUUAGUGUUUUUACAGCUUCUAUUGUUUCAACACU